rnacentral:rRNA from 1 species
UACAGAGGGUGCAAGCGUUAAUCGGAAUUACUGGGCGUAAAGCGUGCGUAGACGGUUGCGUAAGUCAGAUGUGAAAGCCCCGGGCUCAACCUGGGAAUUGCAUUUGAGACUGCGUAGCUAGGGUGCGGAAGAGGGAAGCGGAAUUUCCGGUGUAGCGGUGAAUGCGUAGAUAUCGGAAGGAACACCAGUGGCGAAAGCGGCUUCCUGGUCCAGCACCGACGUUCAGGCACGAAAGCGUGGGGAGCAAACAGG